ACCUUCCACCCUAAAAUCUAAAUUCCUAAUUUCUAAUUUGCCUCAGCAGUCAAAAACAUUCUCUCCGCUCUCGCCUCUCAGUCUCUACUCUCUGAACUUGAGGGUUGAGGCAACAACAACUCAACCACACUAAGGAUUCCACAGAAAGGUCUCAAGGUCUCAACUUGAGUACUACAUGUCUCUGAACUUGAGGCAACAACAACUCAACCAAACAGUUCUUGCGAGUUGCGACACCAACAAGGCAAAAACUCAACGAAAAUCUCAUUCUCUUCUCUAAGCAUCAAGUCACUUCCUCGUUUCCUCCAUAGGGCCAUAGCCAGAGCAGCAGAUGGCACACGAUUUAGCUAGCGCUGGAAAUGACACUUCCGUAAUUAAUGUGUAGUGUUAAUAUAUCUGAUGUUGGCUGCUGAUAUUGCUGUGUUCGUUGGGAUCUGGAUCUGAAGAUGUACAUGCGUCCCGGUUGUAGCUGCCUCUUGUUCAUGCAACUCAGGGAAUUCCUUUUUCAACUUUGAAGCAUCCAUCUCAUUGAGGAUAAGGAGGAAUGAAGAAUGAAGGCAGAAUUGUAUUUUGGUUGGCAAGGUUGACAUUUUUGCAAGUUGUUUGAACUUUGAAGCUGCAGAAAUUGAAGCACUGUUAGCUGGAGCAAUUGUAUUUUGGAUGUCUCCUCCAAUUGUUCUAGAUUUUAUUUCCAAAUUUCCAUUUCCAUAGUUCUAGAUUUUUUAAAAUAUACUGUUGUGGUAUCACUGUCUGUCUGUUCAACCUUACGUUGAUCUUAGCUAUAAAAAAAAUAGAACCUUUAUUAACAUCAGUGAUUCUAAGUGUCUUUGCAAACAGGAAUAGUUAAACAAACAGUUGUACUGACAAAUAGUGGUACUGCAGAAACAAAAAAGCAUCAGGCU